GACGAACGCUGGCGGCGUGCUUAACACAUGCAAGUCGAGCGGUAAGGCCCUUUCGGGGGUACACGAGCGGCGAACGGGUGAGUAACACGUGGGUGACCUGCCCUCAGCUCUGGGAUAAGCCUGGGAAACUGGGUCUAAUACUGGAUAUGACUCCACGGUGCAUGUCGUGGGUGGAAAGCCUUGUGCGGCUGAGGAUGGGCCCGCGGCCUAUCAGCUUGUUGGUGGGGUGAUGGCCUACCAAGGCGACGACGGUAGCCGGCCUGAGAGGGCGACCGGCCACACUGGGACUGAGACACGGCCCAGACUCCUACGGGAGGCAGCAGUGGGGAAUAUUGCGCAAUGGGCGGAAGCCUGACGCAGCGACGCCGCGUGGGGAGUGACGGCC
rnacentral:rRNA from 1 species